AAGCGGUGGAGCAUGUGGAUUAAUCGAAGCAACGCGCAGAACCUUACCUAGGUUUGACAUGCUUGGAUGCUUGCCUGGAAACAGGUUAAGCUGCCCUUCGGGGUGAAACUUGCACAGGUGCUGCAUGGCUGUCGUCAGCUCGUGUCAUGAGAUGUCGGGUUAAGUCCCUUAACGAGCGAAACCCUUGCCGUUAGUUACCAGCGGGUCAUGCCGGGAACUCUAGCGGGACUGCCGGUGUUAAACCGGAGGAAGGUGGGGAUGACGUCAAGUCAUCAUGGCCUUUAUGCCUAGGGCAUCACACGUGCUACAAUGGCCGGGACAAAGCGACGCAAGACCGCGAGGUGGAGCUAAUCGCAAAAACCCGGCCCAGUUCGGAUUGCAGGCUGGCAACUCGCCUGCAUGAAGUUGGAAUCGCUAGUAAUCGUGAAUCAGCUAUGUCACGGUGAAUGUCGUUCCUGAGCCUU
rnacentral:rRNA from 1 species